rnacentral:rRNA from 1 species
CAACGGCCGCGGUACCCUAACCGUGCGAAGGUAGCAUAAUCACUUGUUCUUUAAAUAGGGACUAGUAUCAACGGCAUCACGAGGGUUACACUGUCUCCUUUCUCCAAUCAGUGAAACUGAUCUCCCCGUGAAGAAGCGAGGAUAUAACUAUUAGACGAGAAGACCCCAUGGAGCUUUAAGCUCAACAACAAUUUUUAUGAAAAUAAUUCCUCAUAGUAUACAGACCCUGUUUGUUAGCUUUAGGUUGGGGUGACCGCGGAGUAUAAUUUAACCUCCACAACGAAAGGGCAUAAAACCCUUAUCCAAGAGCCACUGCUCUAAGAAUCACCAAAUUGACGUAUAAUGAUCCGAUUUUCGAUCAACGGACCAAGUUACCCUGGGGAUAACAGCGCAAUCCAUUUUUAGAGCCCCUAUCGACAAA